UCCGAAUUAUAUUCCGAUGUGUUCAACGGGUAAAGUUCUACUCAAAUGGAGGAAUACUCAAGAUGAAAGGGACGUAUUGUGUUGACAAGCCAGCUCGGAAAUCGGAAACGGUCGGAGGCACGCUCACACUAUCCGUAUACCAUCUUGGCAUAAUGGCUUGUAUAUUUUGAGUAUGGCAUGUAUAGCAUUAUAAUCAUUUUAUAUGUAUGGUCUUAUGAUAUGGUUAUUGAGUGGUAUGGAAAUAGAAAUGCUUGGUAAUGAUUAGCCAUUGGAAUGGCUAAUCAUGAUCAUAUUUGGUAUUAUGUAUGUCAAAUUGCUAGCUAAUCCAUGGAAACCAUGAAAUAGGUAAAAUUUACCAUAAAA